rnacentral:rRNA from 1 species
GAUGAACGCUGGCGGCGUGCCUAAUACAUGCAAGUCGAGCGAACGGACGAGAAGCUUGCUUCUCUGAUGUUAGCGGCGGACGGGUGAGUAACACGUGGAUAACCUACCUAUAAGACUGGGAUAACUUCGGGAAACCGGAGCUAAUACCGGAUAAUAUUUUGAACCGCAUGGUUCAAAAGUGAAAGACGGUCUUGCUGUCACUUAUAGAUGGAUCCGCGCUGCAUUAGCUAGUUGGUAAGGUAACGGCUUACCAAGGCAACGAUGCAUAGCCGACCUGAGAGGGUGAUCGGCCACACUGGAACUGAGACACGGUCCAGACUCCUACGGGAGGCAGCAGUAGGGAAUCUUCCGCAAUGGGCGAAAGCCUGACGGAGCAACGCCGCGUGAGUGAUGAAGGUCUUCGGAUCGUAAAACUCUGUUAUUAGGGAAGAACAUAUGUGUAAGUAACUGUGCACAUCUUGACGGUACCUAAUCAGAAAGCCACGGCUAACUACGUGCCAGCAGCCGCGGUAAUACGUAGGUGGCAAGCGUUAUCCGGAAUUAUUGGGCGUAAAGCGCGCGUAGGCGGUUUUUUAAGUCUGAUGUGAAAGCCCACGGCUCAACCGUGGAGGGUCAUUGGAAACUGGAAAACUUGAGUGUAGAAGAGGAAAGUGGAAUUCCACGUGUAGCGGUGAAAUGCGCAGAGAUAUGGAGGAACACCAGUGGCGAAGGCGACUUUCUGGUCUGUAACUGACGCUGAUGUGCGAAAGCGUGGGGAUCAAACAGGAUUAGAUACCCUGGUAGUCCACGCCGUAAACGAUGAGUGCUAAGUGUUAGGGGGUUUCCGCCCCUUAGUGCUGCAGCUAACGCAUUAAGCACUCCGCCUGGGGAGUACGACCGCAAGGUUGAAACUCAAAGGAAUUGACGGGGACCCGCACAAGCGGUGGAGCAUGUGGUUUAAUUCGAAGCAACGCGAAGAACCUUACCAAAUCUUGACAUCCUUUGACAACUCUAGAGAUAGAGCCUUCCCCUUCGGGGGACAAAGUGACAGGUGGUGCAUGGUUGUCGUCAGCUCGUGUCGUGAGAUGUUGGGUUAAGUCCCGCAACGAGCGCAACCCUUAAGCUUAGUUGCCAUCAUUAAGUUGGGCACUCUAAGUUGACUGCCGGUGACAAACCGGAGGAAGGUGGGGAUGACGUCAAAUCAUCAUGCCCCUUAUGAUUUGGGCUACACACGUGCUACAAUGGACAAUACAAAGGGCAGCGAAACCGCGAGGUCAAGCAAAUCCCAUAAAGUUGUUCUCAGUUCGGAUUGUAGUCUGCAACUCGACUACAUGAAGCUGGAAUCGCUAGUAAUCGUAGAUCAGCAUGCUACGGUGAAUACGUUCCCGGGUCU